ACUUUUUUUUUUUUUUUUUUUUUUUUUUUUUUUUUUUUUUCACUGCGACCUGCUCUACAUCUG
rnacentral:ribozyme from 1 species